AGCAGUGUGGCUUAGUGGAAAGAGCACAGGCUUAGGAACCAGAGUCAUAGGUUCCAAUCCUGGCUCUGCCA
rnacentral:tRNA from 1 species